UGUUAAUUUUAUAUAAUUUUUAUUAAUUAUUGUUUUUUUAGUAUAUUAUAAGAAUAAUUUAUGUUUUAUUUACUGUAUAGUUAUUUAUUUAAUAUAUUAAAAGUAUUUAAUAGUACCUUUUGUAUCAGGGUAAUUUAAUUUAGAAAAUUAUUUUUAUUUCCCGAAUUUGAGUGAUUUAGAUUUAAAUUUGUUAAUUGUUGAAUAAAUUUUUUUAAUUUAUUUUUAGUAGUGAAAAGUUAAUUCGAUCUCUAAUAUAUCUGGUUUCUUAAGAUUUAAUAUAAUUAAAGGUUAAAGUUAUUUUUUAUAUGUAAUUUAAUUAAUCUAAUUUUGUGGGGGAUAAGCUCAACAUAUAUUUUCAAUAUUUAUUUAUAAUAUUUUUAUAAUUUUUUAAAUUUUAAAUUUAGUUUUUAACAAAUUUAAAUAUUUAAUUUUAAUAUUUUAUUGAUUAAUUUUUUUAUUAAGAUUAUAAAAACUAAUAUAUUUUUUUAUAUAAAAAUGAUUUAAUUAGUAUAAUUUUAAUUUAUUUUUUAAUGAAUUUGACAAAUUUUAUUUUCAACUGUUUAUCAAAAACAUUUCCUUAAGUUUGUUUUUAAGGUAUUUCCUGCUCAAUGAUUUUUAAAUAGCUGCAGUAAUUUGACUGUACAAAGGUAGCAUAAUAAUUAGUUUCUUAAUUAGGAACUGGAAUGAAUGGAUUAAUGAAAAAUAUAUUUUAUUGAUUUUAAUAUUAAAAUUUAAUUUGUAAGUAAGAAAGCUUACUUUUUUAUUAGGGACGAAAAGACCCUAAAGAACUUAUUUUUAUUAAUUUAUAUAUUUAGAUAAUUUUAUUUUUAAUAAUUAUUUAAUUGGGGUGAUUAAUAAAAUUUAACUUUAUUUAUUUUAUUCAUUAAUUUAUGAUUUUUGAUCCUUAUUUUAAGAUUAAAAGUUAAAGUUACCUUAGGGAUAACAGCGUAAUUUUAAUGGGGAGUUCUUAUUUAUAUUAAAGUUUGCGACCUCGAUGUUGAAUUAAGAUAAGUAUAGGGGGUAGGUUCUUUAUAAUCUAAGUCUGUUCGACUUUUAAAUUCUUACAUGAUUUGAGUUCAAACCGGUGUGAGCCAGGUUGGUUUCUAUCUUAAUAUUUACAUAUUUUUUUAGUACGAAAGGACCAUUAAAUACAAUUUUAAUUGUUAAUUUUU
rnacentral:rRNA from 1 species